GCUGCUCUUGGGGCAUAUUCUUCCAAUCAAUUGCAAAAAACCAACCAAUACCCUCGCAGAUUUUCUUUUAAACCCAGAAACGCAGGAAAGAGAAUAAGAAAGAGACUUCCAAAACUUGACCAGGAUUGAGCGCAGAAUUACAUGAUAUUUAUGUAAUUUGUAAAGCGGUACGCAGGAAAGAGAAUAAGAAAGAGACUUCCAAAACUUGACCAGGAUUGAGCGCAGAAUUACAUGAUAUUUAUGUAAUUUGUAAAGCGGUAGAAUUGCACAAAGAGUUGCAAAUUUGUUUUAAAGAAGAAUUCCACGAAAAGAGGAAUUACAUGAUCAAGAAAGAAAAAGAGGAGAGACACAAUUAGCGAGAAGCAAGGGAAUGA
rnacentral:lncRNA from 1 species